rnacentral:rRNA from 1 species
AUAGAUACCCAGGUAGUCCACGCCGUAAACGUUGGAUACUAGGUGUGGCGGUUAUACCAAUGACUGCCGUGCCGAAGCUAACGCAUUAAGUAUCCCGCCUGGGGAGUACGGCCGCAAGGCUAAAACUCAAAGGAAUUGACGGGUCCCCGCACAAGCGGCGGAGCAUGCGGCUUAAUUCGAUGCAACCCGAAGAACCUUACCUGGGUUUGACAUCACGGGAAAAGCUGUAGAAAUACAGUGUCCAUUAGGGCCCGUGACAGGUGGUGCAUGGCUGUCGCCAGCUCGUGUCGUGAGAUGUUGGGUUAAGUCCCGCAACGAGCGCAACCCUUGUCCUAUGUUGCCAGCGGUUCGGCCGGGGACUCAUAGGAGACUGCCGGGGAUAACUCGGAGGAAGGUGAGGACGACGUCAAGUCAUCAUGCCCCUUAUAUCCAGGGCUGCACGCAUGCUACAAUGGCCGGUACAACGGGCAGCGACCCCGCGAGGGUGAGCGAAUCCUAAAAAGCCGGUCCUAGUUCGGAUUGAAGUCUGCAACUCGA